CCGGAUUGGGACUUUCAGGUAACGAAUGCCGUUACAGUUGAUCUGGCUCAGGACGAACGUUAGCGGCGUGCCUAACACAUGCAAGUCGAACGAAGUUCUGCCCUUCGGGACAGAACUUAGUGGCGAACGGGUGAGUAACGCGUGAAUAACCUGCCUUUCAGUGGGGGACAACAGGUGGAGACGACUGCUAAUACCGCAUAACACUUCUUGGAGGCAUCUCUGAGAAGUCAAAGCUUUAUGUGCUGAAAGAUGGAUUCGCGUCUGAUUAGCUAGUUGGUGAGGUAACGGCUCACCAAGGCGACGAUCAGUAGCCGGUCUGAGAGGAUGAACGGCCACAUUGGGACUGAGAUACGGCCCAGACUCCUACGGGAGGCAGCAGUGGGGAAUAUUGGGCAAUGGGGGAAACCCUGACCCAGCAACGCCGCGUGAGGGAACAAGGCUUUCGGGUUGUAAACCUCUUUUACCAGGGACGAAGAACGUGACGGUACCUGGAGAACAAGCAACGGCUAACUACGUGCCAGCAGCCGCGGUAAUACGUAGGUUGCAAGCGUUGUCCGGAUUUACUGAGUGUACAGGGCGUGUAUGCGGAGAUGCAAGUUGGAAGUGAAAUCCAUGGGCUCAACCCAUGAACUGCUUUCACAACUGUAUCCCUUGAGUAUCGGAGAGGCAAGCGGAAUUCCUAGUGUACCGGUGAAAUGCGUAGAUAUUAGGAGGAACACCAGUGGCGAAGGCGGCUUGCUGGACGACAACUGACGCUGAGGCGCGAAAGCGUGGGGAGCAAACAGGAUUAGAUACCCUGGUAGUCCACGCUGUAAACGAUGAAUACUAGGUGUGGGAGGACUGACCCCUUCCGUGCCGCAGUUAACACAAUAAGUAUUCCACCUGGGGAGUACGACCGCAAGGUUGAAACUCAAAGGGAUUGACGGGGGCCCGCACAAGCAGUGGAUUAUGUGGUUUAAUUCGACGCAACGCGAAGAACCUUACCAGGAUUUGACAUCCAACUAACGAAGUAGAGAUACAUUAGGUGCCCUUCGGGGAAAGUUGAGACAGGUGGUGCAUGGUUGUCGUCAGCUCGUGUCGUGAGAUGUUGGGUUAAGUCCCGCAACGAGCGCAACCCUUGUUCUUUGUUGCCAGCACGUAACGGUGGGAACUCAAAGAAGACUGCCGGUGACAAACCGGAGGAAGGCAGGGAUGACGUCAAGUCAUCAUGGCCCUUACGUUCAGGGCUACACACGUGCUACAAUGGGGGGCACAGCGCGCCGCUACCCGGUGACAGGUUGCCAAUCGUGAAAUCCCCUCUCAGUUCGGACUGGAGUC
rnacentral:rRNA from 1 species